AUUGAACGCUGGCGGCAGGCCUAACACAUGCAAGUCGAACGAAUGGCGGACGGGUGAGUAAUGUCUGGGCAACUGCCCGAUGGAGGGGGAUAACUACUGGAACCGGUGGCUAAUACCGCAUACCAUCGGAUGUGCCACGAUGGGAUUAGCUAGUAGGGGGGGUAACGGCUGACCUAGGCGACGAUCCCUAGCUGGUCUGAGAGGAUGACCAGCCACACUGGAACUGAGACACGGUCCAGACUCCUACGGGAGGCAGCAGUGGGGAAUAUUGCGCAAUGGGCGACAGCCUGAUUCAGCCAUGCCGCGUGUAUGAAGAAGGCCUUCGGGUUGUAAAGUACUUUCAGCGAGGAGGCGUUACUCGCACAAGAAGCAUCGGCUAACUCCGUGCCAGCAGCCGCGGUAAUAC
rnacentral:rRNA from 1 species